rnacentral:lncRNA from 1 species
AUCCUCACCCAGCUCCCAGAGCACGGACGAAGAUGAAGGCGGCCGCGCUCAGCCUCGUGAUGCUCCUCGCUGCCCUGUGCUGCACAGUGGAAGCUCAGGUGAAUUAUCCAUGGGGGGUGCGGGCUAGGGCUGGCGGUGAUUGGCCUUGGGGGUCCCUGAUGCCGGGCUCUCUCUCUUACUCCCUCUCUUACUCCUCUCCCCACAGGCAGUUCUGGAUGUGCAGCCUGAGGAAGGUUUAGUGGAACUGGGACCUCUCGAUGUUCUUCCUGACCCUCCUCUUCUCAGUAGCGCAGAGGAGAAACUCCUGCGUGUGAGACGCGUGGCCCUGGAUCUACAUGUCUAGUCCUUCUCCUGGAUUAAGUCCCUGGGCACAAACCCUGCACGGACAAGGCUUCUCCUCGCCAGUGAUGCCCUUUCACANAGGCAUGGGGAGCAGGGCCAGCCAAGGAAUGGUUGGGGUUAGGGUUAGGGUUAGGGAUAGGUUUUGGGUUAGAGUUAGGGUCAGGUUUAGGUUUAGGGUUAGGGUUAGGGUUUGGGUUUGGGUUAGGGUAAGGGUAAGGGAAAGGGUAAGGGUAAGGGUUAGGGUUAGGGUUAGGAUUAAUGUUAGGGUUAGGGUUAGGCUUCGUGUAGGGAUUUCGAGUUAGGGAUUUACUUGGGGUUAGGGUUAGGGUUUGGAUUAGGGUUAUUGUAAGGGUAAUUAAGUAAGCAAGUAGGGGUUAGGGUUAGGGUUAGGUUAAGGGAUAGGGUUAUGUUUGGGGUUAGGGUUAGGGUUAGGGUUAAGUUUGCAUGUGUUAGGGUUAUGGUUAGGGUUUGGGUUAGGGUUAGUGUUAGGGUAUGGGUUUAGGGUUAUGGUUUGGAUUAAGGUAGAGUUAGGUUUAGGGUUAGGAUAGUAUUUAGGAUUGGGGUUAGGGUUAGGGUUAUGUUUAGGGUAAGGUUAUCGUUAAGGGUACGGUUAGAGUUAGGGUUUGUGUUAGGGUUAGGGUUAGGUUUAGGGUCAAAGUUAGGGUCAGGUUUAGUGUUAGGGUCAUGGUUAGGGUUAGGGUGAGGGUUAGGGUAGGGUUGUGGUUAGGGUUAGAGUUAGGGUAAGGUUAGAUUUAGGGUUAGGGGUAGGUUUAAGGUUAAGAGUUAAGGUAAGGGUUAGGGUUGAGGUUAGGGUUAGGGUUACGAUAGGUGUUAGGGUUUGAGUUAGGUUCUGUAUGGUGGUUAGUGUUUGGGUUUUUUUUAGGAGAGGUUUGGUGUUAUGGUUAUGGCUCGGGUUAGGGUUUGGGUUAUGGUUAGGGUUACUGUCCUUGUUUGGGUUUGGGUUAGGUUUAGAGUUCGGCUUAUGAUUAGGUUAGGGCUUAGGGUUAGUGUUAGGGUGCGUUAAAACUGAUGUGGCCAGCAGGUCAAGGGAGUUGAUCCUCUCCCUCUACUCUGCCCUGGUAAGGACACAUUUAGAAUCUUCGAAGCAGUAGGACAAGGGGUAAUGGCCUAAAACCUGAACAUAAGAAGUUCCAUACAAACAUGAGGAAGAAGUAAGGGUGAUGAAGCAUAGAGCAGGCUGCCCAGAGAGGCUGUGGAGUCUCCUUGUAAGGAGACAUUCAAGGCCCAUCUGGUUGCCUGCCUGUGUCACCUCUUGUAGGGUGCUUGCUUUGGCAGGGGGGU